UUAAUUGAAGCCAAAGAGAGGCUUAUCACUGUUAAUGAUAUCAUUGAAAUUUAUUUUCCAAUUAAA
rnacentral:tRNA from 1 species